CUUCUGCAAACAGUAGAAUUGAAUAAAAUCCUGUAUCACUUCAAGUUUAUGCAGCAAUAUUGUUAGAUGUGAAACGCUGCCUGAAAGAAAGUGUGUCCCAGUGUGGCUCCACUGCUUAAAUGAGAAAGUGCUGAAAAUCUGUCCUUCACUCCAAUGGGAUCUAUACAAGUAGUAUUCGUCAUCCACAGUGAUGUUUUUGGAGCGGGAAGAUGUAAUGUAAUGCUGAUGAUGCAACCCCAGACAGUCAUUUCUGUGUAAUAGCUUCAGGCUCAGAAAGCCUGAUCUGCCUCCUGAACAACCGUCACAGGCUUCGCCCCCACGUCUGCGUGGAUGAGGGGACCCAGGAACCAGUUGGAGAAUCAGGAGUUUGCUUAAACUUUAGCGAUAUCUUUCACCUUGAAAUAUUGAUCCCCUAGCUAUAUGCUGCGAUAAAGUUUGCAUUAGAAAUACUGGUACUUUCAGCAUCUCUUGGCUCAGUCUGCAUGUUACUGGCUACUACAGUUUUGUUUUAUCCUUCACUUUGUUAUAGGAUAUCUGCAUCACAUACAGAGUAUAAAAAGGAAUGGAGCGAAUGAGUAAUGCAGCCCUAGUGGGAUUAAAGGCAGAAUUAGGAGACUUUUCUGCUUGAAACAGGUUUAUUUGAUUCAUUUUUAGUGCUUGCUGUUAUAAAGGACAGAGAUCAACAACAACAUAAGACAAGAAUCAGAUUAUUCCUUUGUUAUCCUGCUGUACACAAAGCUGUAACAACAUUUACAAAAUAGUAAUGAAUGACAUUGUUUUCUAGAUGAGACUGUGUGGACUUAUGACAGCUUUCUGCUUCAUUUUUUGUGUUCUAAGCACAAGCAAAGAUGACUAUCUGCAAAAAUAUUAAAUAUAUGACUUCUGAAGAAUCUCAGAAAGGUUAAGAAUUACAGUAUUAACCAUUCCAUCUUCGUUCCACUGAGAAUUUCCAUGAUAAGUUUGCACAGAAAAUUUGAUUUUCUGUGUAUAGAUGCAAGAGAUUUUACCACUUUUCCGUAAAACCUCUUUAAUGGUCUAAGCUAACAUGGUAAAUGUUAAGUAUCUUUGGAAAAGUUUUGAAAAACUACUGCCACAAAAUUAAUCUGAGGCUGAACAAUUUGAAUUUUUUGUCCUUAUAAUCAAAAGCUAAGAGGAAAAAUUCGGAAAAAAAAAAAACUUGCUUUGUUGUUGGAAGCUGGAAAAUUGUUUGACCUGUG
rnacentral:lncRNA from 1 species